rnacentral:rRNA from 1 species
CCAUCCCAUCCUCAGCAAGGGAUCUUGUCUGAUUUUGGAAGCUAAGGAGGGUCAGGUCUGGGUUGUACAUGGAUGGGAGACCCCCAAGGGAAUACAGGAUG